AUUGAACGCUGGCGGCAGGCUUAACACAUGCAAGUCGAGCGAGCGGCGGACGGGUGAGUAAUGUCUGGGAAACUGCCUGAUGGAGGGGGAUAACUACUGGAAACGGUAGCUAAUACCGCAUACCAUCAGAUGUGCCCAGAUGGGAUUAGCUAGUAGGGGGGGUAAUGGCUCACCUAGGCGACGAUCCCUAGCUGGUCUGAGAGGAUGACCAGCCACACUGGGACUGAGACACGGUCCAGACUCCUACGGGAGGCAGCAGUGGGGAAUCUUGGACAAUGGGCGCAAGCCUGAUGCAGCCAUGCCGCGUGGGUGAAGAAGGUCUUCGGGUUGUAAAGCACUGUCAGCAGGGAAGCGGUACUCGCAGAAGAAGCACCGGCUAACUCCGUGCCAGCAGCCGCGGUAAUUC
rnacentral:rRNA from 1 species